UUCUCCCUGAGACUUUAAGUCUCCUGAAGGAACGUUGAAGACGACGACGUUGAUAGGCCGGGUGUGUAAGCGCAGCGAUGCGUUGAGCUAACCGGUACUAAUGAACCGUGAGGCUUAACCUUA
rnacentral:rRNA from 1 species